rnacentral:sRNA from 1 species
CAUUAUUGAAAUAAACCUGAUGAGUUGCUGCUGGUUCUCUAGGGAGCAUGUGCACACUUGUCGUCUUUAUAUUUCCACCUUGUGCACCUUUUGUAGACCUGGAUAUCUCUCUGAAUGCACACAAGCAUUUGGGUUUGAGGGGUUGACUUUUUGGUCUCCCUUUAUAUUUCCAGGCCUAUGUUUCUUUCAUAUACCCCACUUGUGUUAUAGAUUGUGAUAAAAUGGGCCUUUGUGCCUGUAAAGCUAUACAACUUUCAGCAACGGAUCUCUUGGCUCUCGCAUCGAUGAAGAACGCAGCGAAAUGCGAUAAGUAAUGUGAAUUGCAGAAUUCAGUGAAUCAUCGAAUCUUUGAACGCACCUUGCGCUCCUUGGUAUUCCGAGGAGCAUGCCUGUUUGAGUGUCAUUAAUAUAUCAACCUCCUCAACUUGUGUUGAGUGUUGGAUGUGGGGGUUCUUUCUUUGCUGGCUUCACGGUCAGCUCCCCUGAAAUGCAUUAGCGGAACAACCUGUUCACUGUUCAUUGGCGUGAUAACUAUCUACGCUGCUUGUUGACAGUGAAGCAAGUUCAGCUUCUAACAGUCCAUUAAAUUGGACAAAUUUUUAUUAAUGUGACCUCAAAUCAGGUAGGACUACCCGCUGAACUUAAGCAUAUC